rnacentral:tRNA from 1 species
GGCGGAAUAGCUCAGCUGGCUAGAGCAUGCGGUUCAUACCCGCAGGGUCGUGGGUUCAAGUCCCUCUUCCGCUA